rnacentral:rRNA from 1 species
GCUGGCGUUGUGUAACAUUACAUAGUGAAACUGCGAAUGGCUCAUUAUAUAAGUUAUCGUUUAUUUGAUAGUUCCUUACUACUUGGAUAACCGUGGUAAUUCUAGAGCUAAUACAUGCUAAAAACCCCGACUUCGGAAGGGGUGUAUUUAUUAGAUUAAAAACCAAUGCCCUUCGGGGCUCACUGGUGAUUCAUAAUAACUUCUCGAAUCGCAUGGCCUUGCGCCGGCGAUGGUUCAUUCAAAUUUCUUCCCUAUCAACUUUCGAUGCUAGAGUAGUGUUCUAGCAUGGUUACAACGGGUAACGGAGGGUUAGGGCUCGACCCCGGAGAAGGAGCCUGAGAAACGGCUACUACAUCCAAGGAAGGCAGCAGGCGCGCAAAUUACCCAAUCCCGACACGGGGAGGUAGUGACGAUAAAUACUGAUACAGGGCUCUUUUGGGUCUUGUAAUUGGAAUGAGUACAAUUUAAAUCCCUUAACGAGGAACAAUUGGAGGGCAAGUCUGGUGCCAGCAGCCGCGGUAAUUCCAGCUCCAAUAGCGUAUAUUAAAGUUGUUGUGGUUAAAAAGCUCGUAGUAGAACCUUGGGCCUGGCUGGCCGGUCCGCCUCACCGCGUGCACUGGUCCGGCCGGGCCUUUCCCUCUGUGGAACCGCAUGCCCUUCACUGGGUGUGCCGGGGAAACAGGACUUUUACUUUGAAAAAAUUAGAGUGCUCCAGGCAGGCCUUUGCUCGAAUACAUUAGCAUGGAAUAAUAGAAUAGGACGUGUGGAUCUAUUUUGAUAAGUACU